rnacentral:misc_RNA from 1 species
GAUGAAGAACGCAGCGAAAUGCGAUAAGUAAUGCGAAUUGCAGAAUUCAGUGAGUCAUCGAAUCUUUGAACGCACAUUGCGCCCGCCAGCAUUCUGGCGGGCAUGCCUGUUCGAGCGUCAUUUCAACCCUCGACCUCCCUUUGGGGAAGUCGGCGUUGGGGACCGGCAGCACACCGCCGGCCCUGAAAUGGAGUGGCGGCCCGUCCGCGGCGACCUCUGCGUAGUAAACCAACUCGCACCGGAACCCCGACGUGGCCACGCCGUAAAACACCCAACUUCUGAACGUUGACCUCGAAUCAGGUAGGACUACCCGCUGAACUUAAGCAUAUCAAUAAGCGGAGGA